UACGUAGGCAGCAAGCGUUGUUCGGAGUUACUGGGCGUAAAGGGCGCGUAGGCGGUUCGCUAAGUCGGAUGUGAAAACUCUGGGCUCAACCCAGAGCCUGCAUCCGAAACUGGCGGGCUAGAGUUCUGGAGGGGGUAGCGGAAUUCCUGGUGUAGCGGUGAAAUGCGUAGAUAUCAGGAGGAACACCGGUGGCGAAGGCGGCUACCUGGACAGAAACUGACGCUGAGGCGCGAAAGCUAGGGGAGCAAACAGG
rnacentral:rRNA from 1 species